GAAAUCAAGUGUGGGUGAGACCU
rnacentral:miRNA from 12 species